rnacentral:lncRNA from 1 species
GCCAGUUGGUAGUUUAUUGGGUGACGUUAUGCUGAUGGAAAGUUCCUUGACCUGGUGAGGCCUAAAACAUUAAUUAUUAAUAAAUUAAUGUAUUAAACAUUGUUCCAGUCUAAUUACCCUAGAGGGACUAUAUCUAAAUUGUUGAAUCUUUGCCUUGAGGUUUUCCCAGCUCCAAAGUGUGAAUUACCUCCUGCUCAUCUCAGCCCUGUGGUUCUUGAGACGAAGUGUGACAAUUCAAUCACAGCAGUCAGAUAUUAGAUAGUGGGGGUGUAUGGUAUGGCAUUUAAUGGAUCCCUAAGAGUCAUGGUGAAAUAGGGCCUUUGCUUACUGCAGGAUCUAAAGGGACAUGAGAGAAACAGAAGAAAAGAUGAUGUGUAGAACAGUUAUAUCCAUGGAUCACAAACCAUGAAAUAGACCAUAAAAGUGGUAAGAAGGCUUAUCCAAUUCCAAAUUACAGUUGUUUGAACACUAAGCAGCUUAAGAAAGUAAGCAUUAUGAUCAUUCUCAUUCAGAAAAAGAAACCACUGCUGAGGUAAAACCUUUUGGCUGGUAGUAACAAAAUGAAAAUAUUAAUCUUAGCUGUUAAUCUUUUUGAUUUAUAGAUAUUACAUAAAUCAUGCUGCUGUUUUUUCCAAUCUGCUGCUAGGAUUUGCUGCAUACUGUUCACCUGGAGAGAAUGGCCUGUUGGGAAUUCCUGACUACUUUGGGCAUACUUCAGAAGUAAUACAGGCUGCGAAUGUGAGCUUGAAAAUUGCAUCAGGAUGCCCAGAGGUAAGCGAGCAUUUCUCUGGCCAGAACAGGAAGAUCUAUGGCAUGUUCUUGUAGCUGACCAGCAUAUAGAAGAGGACUUACUAAAGAUGGAUUUCAAUGUCUCAAUCGUAAUCCACGGCAAUAAUGAAACCUCCUAAGCAGCCACUCUGCCCCACCUCACCAGGAGUUACCUCCGUCCAUCCAAGGGGAAUUUCGCUGCCACAGGCCAGCAGGGGGAGCGAGUCCCUCCCGGGGGUGUCUGACCUGGCCCAUGACAGGUUGUAUAUGAGGUUUAAAUCUGCCAUAAAGAAGAUGGAGGAGGGGGAAACAAUGGUUUGUUGUCUAAUUCAGGAGACAGUGCCACAGAAGAACCCAAUCUGGGACUUAACCUGGGAUGCAAAAGAUCAAAUUCCUGUUUUCCAGCUCUGUUACAGCCAUCAUAAAGCACCUUAA